UACGGGAGUGGCAAGCGUUAUCCGGAAUUAUUGGGCGUAAAGCGUCCGCAGGCGGUCUGUCAAGUCUGCUGUUAAAGCGUGGAGCUUAACUCCAUUUCGGCAGUGGAAACUGACAGACUAGAGUGUGGUAGGGGCAGAGGGAAUUCCCGGUGUAGCGGUGAAAUGCGUAGAUAUCGGGAAGAACACCAGUGGCGAAGGCGCUCUGCUGGGCCAUAACUGACGCUCAUGGACGAAAGCGUGGGGAGCGAACAGG
rnacentral:rRNA from 1 species